rnacentral:rRNA from 1 species
UCCUAGCCCUAAACGAUGUGCACUUGGUGGUGGGGAUCUUAAAUCUUCACUGCCGUAGCGAAAGCGUUAAGUGCACCGCCUGGGGAGUACGCUCGCAAGGGUAAAACUCAAAGGAAUUGACGGGAGCUUACACAAGCGGUGGAGCAUGUUGUUUAAUUCGAAUACGCGAAGAACCUUACCAGCUUGACAUGUUAUAGUAGUGAUCCGAAAGUGAACAUCCUACUUUGU